rnacentral:lncRNA from 1 species
AAAAAGCUACUCUGUCUCUCUUUCACAAAAAACCCUAAUCCCCAAAUCCCAGUUUCACCCAAAAUUCAAUAUAUUAAGCCAUUUAUUCGAUGCGAUAUAACAAGGUCUAAAUGAACAGAUGCCAAUCGGAGAAAAGGAAGCUUAAGUCAAUAUAACAUAUUAAACCAUUUAUCCGAGGUCCGUUUUCGGUUGUUGUUGUUGUUUCUGGUGGUGGUGAUAGUGUGAAUUUGUUCUAAGAGGCGUGGGAGGUCUGUGUCUAAGAAUAAUGACGGUGAUGAUGCUGGUAGUGCAGAUAGGGUUGUUUCGGAUAGUGAUUGAGGAAAAGGCGGUCUAUUUCGGUUGUUCAACAUCAGAUUAGUGGCUCCGAGAUCCAGAGGAAGAACGUCGAUGGAUGGCUCAAGAAGUACGCAGUUACGUUGAAGCAGUUCUCAACACCCUUGCUGCCAAUGUCCAAAGGCAGUUGUUCAUUGCCAAGUAGAAAAGGCUAAAGAAGAUAGCUCAAUAAACUAGUUUUAUAAAAGUGGAAAGAAAGAAUGCGUGGCUAAAUCUGCAGCUGAAACUAAACCUCAAGCUGUUAUGCUGAAAUAACGUCAGGCUUAUGUGGUUUGAACUUAGAACAUGUUUAAAAAAAUUCUUAGUGCUUACAAAUUUUUUUCAUCUGGUUUAUCAAAUUUUCACUUGAAUGAUGAUCAAAGUUUGACUUUUCAUGGUUAAAUGUUCACCUUCAAAUGCAUAAUCAUUGUUAACUAUAUAGUGAUUGUUAUAGAAUUCGUUGGAUUC